UGGGGAAUAUUGGACAAUGGGCGCAAGCCUGAUCCAGCAAUGCCGCGUGAGUGAGGAAGGCCUUAGGGUUGUAAAGCUCUUUCGCACGCGACGAUGAUGACGGUAGCGUGAGAAGAAGCCCCGGCUAACUUCGUGCCAGCAGCCGCGGUAAUACGAAGGGGGCGAGCGUUGUUCGGAUUUACUGGGCGUAAAGGGCGCGCAGGCGGCCAUUUUUGUCAGGCGUGAAAGCCCCGGGCUUAACCUGGGAACUGCGCUUGAGACGGGAUGGCUAGAGAUCGGGAGAGGAGAGUGGAAUUCCCAGUGUAGAGGUGAAAUUCGUAGAUAUUGGGAAGAACACCGGUGGCGAAGGCGGCUCUCUGGACCGACACUGACGCUGAGGCGCGAAAGCGUGGGGAGCAAACAGGAUUAGAUACCCUGGUAGUCCACGCUGUAAACGAUGUGUGCUAGACGUUGGGGAGCCUAGCUCUUCGGUGUCGCAGCUAACG
rnacentral:rRNA from 1 species